rnacentral:rRNA from 1 species
UACGUAGGGGGCAAGCGUUGUCCGGAAUCAUUGGGCGUAAAGCGCGUGUAGGCGGCCCGGUAAGUCCGCUGUGAAAGUCCAGGGCUCAACCCUGGAAUGCCGGUGGAUACUGUCGGGCUCGAGUCCGGAAGAGGCGAGUGGAAUUCCAGGUGUAGCGGUGAAAUGCGUAGAUAUCUGGAGGAACACCGGUGGCGAAGGCGGCAUCCUGGACCGACACUGACGCUGAGGAGCGAAAGCCAGGGGAGCAAACGGG